rnacentral:rRNA from 1 species
CCCUUAGAUGUUCUGGGCCGCACGCGCGCUACACUGAUGCAUUCAACGAGUCCAACCUUGACCGAGAGGUCCGGGUAAUCUUUGAAACUGCAUCGUGAUGGGGCUAGAUUAUUGCAAUUAUUAAUCUUCAAUGAGGAAUGCCUAGUAAGCGUGAUUCAUCAAAUCGCGUUGAUUACGUCCCUGCCCUUUGUACACACCGCCCGUCGCUCCUACCGAUUGAGUGUGUUGGUGAGGAGUUUGGAUUGGCCUCGGAAGGUGGUUCGCCACCGUCCGUAGCUGAGAAGUUCUCCAAACCGCCCCACUUAGAGGAAGGAGAAGUCGUAACA